UACGUAGGGCGCGAGCGUUGUCCGGAAUUAUUGGGCGUAAAGAGCUCGUAGGCGGCCUGUUGCGUCCGCUGUGAAAUCCCAGGGCUCAACCCUGGGCGUGCAGUGGAUACGGGCAGGCUGGAGGCAGGCAGGGGAGAACGGAAUUCCCGGUGUAGCGGUGAAAUGCGUAGAGAUGUGGAGGAACACCGAUGGCGCAGGCAGCCUCCUGGGCCAAUUCUGACGCUCAGGCACGAAAGCGUGGGGAUCAAACAGG
rnacentral:rRNA from 1 species